AUUGAACGCUGGCGGCAGGCCUAACACAUGCAAGUCGAGCGGAUCGGCGGGCGGGUGAGUAAUGCCUAGGAAUCUGCCUGGUAGUGGUGGAUAACGUCCGGAAACGGGCGCUAAUACUACAUACUAUCAGAUGAGCCUAGGUCCGGUUGCCUAGUUGGUGUGGUAAAGGCCUACCAAGGGGACGAGCCGUAACUGGUCUGAGAGGAUGAUCAGUCACACUGGAACUGAGACACGGUCCAGACUCCUACGGGAGGCAGCAGUGGGGAAUAUUGGACAAUGGGCGAAAGCCUGAUCUAGCCAUGCCGCGUGUGUGAAGAAGGUCUUCGGAUUGUAAAGCACUUUAAGUUGGGAGGCGUUACCAACAGAAUAAGCACCGGCUAACUCCGUGCCAGCAGCCGCGGUAAUUC
rnacentral:rRNA from 1 species